GUCUGUAGUCAGUAAGCUGUAGUCUAAUCCGAGCGUAGCAAGGAGCGAUGGGGAGGAAAGUCCGAACACCCUUCAGUUUUUUGAAGAAAUGGAUGGUCGGCAACACCGACCAGUUCGAUAGUAAUAUCGUGACUAGGGAAAGUGCCACAGAGACAAUACAGCAACGCCUCUGCCUGCAUGCAACGCUUAAGGUGAAAAGUAUCUGUAAAACAGAUUCUGUAAUAUGGUGACAUAUUAUGGUGGUAAACCCCAUCUGGUGCAAGGCCGUGUCCCUUGUGCUUCGCGCAAGGAAAUUCGAAAUCCGAAGCACGAAAUCCUAAAUAAAUCCAAACAACCAUAAUACAAAAUUCAAAACAAAAUGUAUUGCAAUGUUUUGAGUUUUGAAAAUUAGAAUUUUGAAUUUAUUUCGAGUUUCGGAUUUAGAUAUUAGAAUUUCCUCGCGCGGAGUGCGAUGGGAAGUGCCGCUUGAGAUAACAUGGCAACAUGCUGUCCAGAUAAAUAGCUUCCACCCCGAGAAUUUUUCAACGGGUACAGAAUUCGGCUUAUAGUAUUCUAAUUAUC
rnacentral:RNase_P_RNA from 2 species